rnacentral:lncRNA from 1 species
GCCUGCCCCGGCCGUGUGGCCGCUGCGCUCCGGGUCUGGUCCCGGCCCCGCCUGCCCCCGGCCGUGUGGCCGCUGCGCUCCGGGUCUGGUCCCGGCCCCGCCUGCCCCCGGCCGUGUGGCCGCUGCGCUCCGGGUCUGGUCCCGGCUCUGCCUGCCCCGGCCGUGUGGCCGCUGCGCUCCGGGUCUGGUCCCGGCCCCGCCUGCCCCCGGCCGUGUGGCCGCUGCGCUCCGGGUCUGGUCCCGGCCCCGCCUGCCCCGGCCGUGUGGCCGCUGCGUCCCGGGCGUCCGUGCGCAGGCGGCGCGGCGAGGAUGGGCGAACCGGAGGCGAUGGAGCUGGAGCGGGAGGAGGACGAGAGAAGUAAUAGUGAAGACACUGCCUAUACCUUCCGAAUGAGUGAGAGCCUGAGUAGCAGAGAGACCAGCUUUCUCAUCAAUGAAGAACCGACGAGAAAGCAUGGAAUCAGUGUGUGAAAGAAAGAAUAAAGGAAGGAGGGACAAACAGGGAAGCCAGAUGGCAGAAUCCAGCCUGAAAGGGGACGUACAGCGUCCCUCUCUACUGUGACAUCCAGAGACGAAAGAGAACACAGAGCAACCCGAAGGCAUCAGUAAGAGGAGGGGUGGAUAAAUUGUACUCCUCUGAGAUUAAGUGAAAUAAAGUCUUGAUUUACUCCACCAUUUGACUGUAAAUCAAGAACAUGAUUCUGAGGUAAAAAUCAUUGUCAUGAAAUU